rnacentral:rRNA from 1 species
CCUACGGGAGGCAGCAGUGGGGAAUAUUGCACAAUGGGGGAAAGCCUGAUGCAGCAAAGCCGCGUGAGUGAAGAAGUAUUUCGGUAUGUAAAGCUCUAUCUGCAGGGAAGAAGAUGACGGUACCUGACUAAGAAGCCCCGGAUAACUACGUGCCAGCAGCCGCGGUAAUACGUAGGAGGCACGCGUUAUCCGGAUUUACUGGGUGUAAAGGGUGCGCAGACGGCAGUGCAAGUCUGAAGUGAAAGCCCGGGGCCCAACCCCGGAACUGCUCUGGAAACUGUGCGGCUAGAGUACUGGAGGGGCAGGCGGAAUGCGUGGUGUAGCGGUGAAAGGCGUAGAUAUUAGGAGGAACACCAGUGGCGAAGGCGGCCUGCUGGGCAGUAACUGACGUUGAGGCUCGAAAGCGUGGGGAGUAAACAGGAUUAGAUACCCUUGUAGUC